AGAGUUUGAUCCUGGCUCAGGACGAACGCUGGCGGCAUGCCUAAUACAUGCAAGUCGAGCGGACUUGAUGAGAAGCUUGCUUCUCUGAUGGUUAGCGGCGGACGGGUGAGUAACACGUAGGCAACCUGCCCUCAAGUUUGGGACAACUACCGGAAACGGUAGCUAAUACCGAAUAGUUGUUUUCUUCGCCUGAAGGAAACUGGAAAGACGGAGCAAUCUGUCACUUGGGGAUGGGCCUGCGGCGCAUUAGCUAGUUGGUGGGGUAACGGCUCACCAAGGCGACGAUGCGUAGCCGACCUGAGAGGGUGAUCGGCCACACUGGGACUGAGACACGGCCCAGACUCCUACGGGAGGCAGCAGUAGGGAAUCUUCCGCAAUGGGCGAAAGCCUGACGGAGCAAUGCCGCGUGAGUGAUGAAGGUUUUCGGAUCGUAAAGCUCUGUUGCCAGGGAAGAACGCUUGGGAGAGUAACUGCUCUCAAGG
rnacentral:rRNA from 1 species